rnacentral:rRNA from 1 species
GGCGGCGUGCUUAACACAUGCAAGUCGAACGAGCGAGAGAGAGCUUGCUUUCUCAAGCGAGUGGCGAACGGGUGAGUAACGCGUGAGGAACCUGCCUCAAAGAGGGGGACAACAGUUGGAAACGACUGCUAAUACCGCAUAAGCCCACGACCCGGCAUCGGGUAGAGGGAAAAGGAGCAAUCCGCUUUGAGAUGGCCUCGCGUCCGAUUAGCUAGUUGGUGAGGUAAUGGCCCACCAAGGCGACGAUCGGUAGCCGGACUGAGAGGUUGAACGGCCACAUUGGGACUGAGACACGGCCCAGACUCCUACGGGAGGCAGCAGUGGGGAAUAUUGUACAAUGGGGGAAACCCUGAUGCAGCGACGCCGCGUGGAGGAAGAAGGUCUUCGGAUUGUAAACUCCUGUUGUUGAGGAAGAUAAUGACGGUACUCAACAAGGAAGUGACGGCUAACUACGUGCCAGCAGCCGCGGUAAAACGUAGGUCACAAGCGUUGUCCGGAAUUACUGGGUGUAAAGGGAGCGCAGGCGGGAAGACAAGUUGGAAGUGAAAUCCAUGGGCUCAACCCAUGAACUGCUUUCAAAACUGUUUUUCUUGAGUAGUGCAGAGGUAGGCGGAAUUCCCGGUGUAGCGGUGGAAUGCGUAGAUAUCGGGAGGAACACCAGUGGCGAAGGCGGCCUACUGGGCACCAACUGACGCUGAGGCUCGAAAGUGUGGGUAGCAAACAGGAUUAGAUACCCUGGUAGUCCACACUGUAAACGAUGAUUACUAGGUGUUGGAGGUUUGACCCCUUCAGUGCCGCAGUUAACACAAUAAGUAAUCCACCUGGGGAGUACGACCGCAAGGUUGCA